UACAGAGGGUGCGAGCGUUAAUCGGAAUUACUGGGCGUAAAGCGUGCGUAGGUGGUGAGUUAAGUCUGUCGUGAAAGCCCCGGGCUCAACCUGGGAAUUGCGAUGGAGACUGCAAGGCUUGAAUCUGGCAGAGGGGGGUAGAAUUCCACGUGUAGCAGUGAAAUGCGUAGAGAUGUGGAGGAACACCGAUGGCGAAGGCAGCCCCCUGGGUCAAGAUUGACGCUCAUGCACGAAAGCGUGGGGAGCAAACAGG
rnacentral:rRNA from 1 species